rnacentral:rRNA from 1 species
UACGAACCGUGCGAACGUUGUUCGGAAUCACUGGGCUUAAAGGGUGCGUAGGCGGGUUGUCCAGUCCGGGGUGAAAUCCCAAGGCUCAACCGUGGAACUGCCUCAAAUACUGACGACCUUGAGGGAGGUAGGGGCGAGCGGAACUGUGGGUGGAGCGGUGAAAUGCGUUGAUAUCAACAGGAACUCCGGUGGCGAAGGCGGCUCGCUGGACCUCUUCUGACGCUGAGGCACGAAAGCUUGGGGAGCAAACGGG